CUCGCUCUCGCCUUUAGAGGAGGAUGAUGUAAGAGAGAAUAUCAUCACGUAUGAUGAUGAAGGAGGGGGUGAGGCUGACACAGCUGCGUUUGACAUCACAGCACUGCAGAGCGCCCCACAUAACGCACGCAGGGGGUACCGCACCCUGGACAGCAGGAACAUACGUUAUUCACAACACGGUCAGGACAAGUCUCGGAUGUAUAGCAGCUGGGCUCAGGCUGGAGCGAUGGACCCCGGGCAGUACGCCAGUCAAGGAGCCCCUCUAUAUGGGCGGUUUUGCUACAGCACCCACACCCUCCCAGUGCUGCGUCGCUCACAGGGCCCCUAUGAGCCUGGCAUAUCUGAGUUGGUUUACCGCUUACCUGGGAAUCAACCAGACCAUUCUCUAGUCAUUCAAAACCAGGCAGCUGUGGUUGGACCUCUGGAGCCCGGGGCUAUUUAUGUGCCAACAGCAGAGGCCAGUCAUGGUUCUAAAGAAGGGACAGCAUCUCAGGAUGGAGCCACCACAUCUGAGGGAGGAACGCCAAGGAAGAAUGACUCAAAGGACGAUGCAAGCAGUCAUGCCCAGCAGAGUCAGAGUCAAAGCCAAGAUCUGGAUUGGAAGAAUAAACUCAUCCUUACCUCCCGCUCUAACCCUACUGCUCCUCCCCAUCCCCGACAGGUCCAGCCAGACAUGGCUCCCCGUGAACGAGAGCUGGUGUUGACCCGUUCUGACUCAGUAGCUGGACCAGGCCCCACCAGCAGUUGGGUGUGUGACUCCGCCACGCUGCCCCGAGCUGGGCGGCACUCCUCGCGGAGCAGUCUUUCCCUAAGUAGGAGCGGCGCUGGACCUGCCGAGUCCAACCAUCCUGGGGUGGCGGACGCUCCCAAUGGAAGCACAGAAAUGCAGUCGGUCAGCAGCAAUUACGCCACCAUCCUGCAGGGGGAGCAGCAGAGGGACUACUCGGGGACUCUGGGACGGGGCGGGCUGGAGAUGGGCAGCGGAUUUGUGGUGGGAAGGCCCGAGAGAGAGGCCAGCAUUCCACUGAGUGCUGGGAUAUAUCCGGAAGGUGGUGGGUUCAUGGGAGACUGGCACGAACGGGUGGGGAUAACCGGGUACCCGCUGGGCAGGAGGGAUAUGACGCCCCAGCUGCUUCCAUACCCCGGCCAGGGCCGGGGAGCUUUUGGGGGCAUCCUGGGAUAUGGUGGAGCAUGGCCCUCAGCACCUGAGGAGUCCGGAAGAGGAGCGCCCAUUGGAGGUGCUCACUCUCUCGCCCUAAGGGUUGGCGAGUUCCUGCGUCUGCGCCUUGCGCAGGUGACCUUCGACCCCUCGCAGCCGCCGUACGACUCGGUGCAGGUGUACGGGCUGGAAGGCACAGGCUCACGUGCCGGGUCCCUCAGCUCCCUGGACAGUGAGGGAGGCAAAGACGCCGAAAAGGAGGUGUGGGGAUCAGGUCUGGAGGAUUGGGGCCCACAAUUCCAGAAAUUAGCCCAGCUUUUUAGGGAAAGGGUCAAGGAAAAUGGAGAAGAUAUAGAAGGAGAUGUAGAAGCCAGCAAAAAGCACAAAGAUAUCGAAUGGGAAGAGAAGGGUGAGCAGUCUGGAGACGAGGAGCAGGCGAAUGUCUGAGAGAGCGAGAAGGAGAGGGGUUGGGUGGGACAGUGAUUAAAAGGCAACAAGAGCUGGAAUAAUGAAAAGUGAAGGGUAAGGAGGGAGAGGCAAAGAGGAAAGGUAAUAAGGGAAGACAGGGAAAAAUGAACAGAGAGAGAAAAGGCAGUGGAGAGAGUGAUUGAUGCAAUUUGAAGCAAUAAGUGCUGAAAAGCUGAUGUGUGAGCACAGAGCGGUGCUUCUUUAGCCAGCAUUUAACAUUCCUUAAGUGUGUUUGGCAGUAAGCGAAAAGCAAAGUUCACUGUAUUCCAGAUCACAUUUAAUUACGAUAGAGAAAGAACAAGAUUUCAACUCGGAUUUUUUGUGGCAGCGUGAAAGACAAUGGCAACACGGGGGAAUGAGAAACACAAG
ensembl:lncRNA